UACAGAGGUCCCGAGCGUUGUUCGGAUUCACUGGGCGUAAAGGGUGCGUAGGUGGCUGGGAAAGUUUGAUGUGAAAGCUCAGGGCUUAACCCUGAAAUGGCAUUGAAUACUGCCUGGCUGGAGGUUUGGAGGGGGGACUGGAAUUCUUGGUGUAGCAGUGAAAUGCGUAGAUAUCAGGAAGAACACCCGUGGCGAAGGCGGCUCUCUGGGACGGUACUGACGCUGAGACGCGAAAGCGUGGGGAGCGAACAGG
rnacentral:rRNA from 1 species